rnacentral:rRNA from 1 species
AUCUUUUCUCGUUAGUUUUUGAAGUAUGGCCUGCCCGCUGACUUUGAUGUUGAAGGGCCGCGGUAUUUUGACCGUGCAAAGGUAGCAUAGUCAUUAGUUCUUUAAUUGUGAUCUGGUAUGAAUGGCUUGACGAGGCAUGGGCUGUCUUAAUUUUGAAUUGUUUAUUGAAUUUGGUCUUUGAGUUAAAAUUCUUAGAUGUUUUUAUGGGACGAGAAGACCCUAUAGAGUUUGACAUUUAUGUGGUCUCUUUUCGUUUGUGAGGGUUCACUGGGCCAUUUAGUAUGUUUUGUUGGGGUGAUGGGAGGGAUAUUAUUUAACCCCUCCUUUGUGUUGUUAUAUUUAUUUAUAUUUGUUUGAUCCAUUUAUUUUGAUUGUAAGAUUAAAUUACCU